GAUAAAGCUUAAACGAUGCCAAUGAUCUUACUUAAAUUGUUUUUGCGAUUUCUAAUCUUACUUUUAUAUCCAUUUAGUUUUGUACUGUGAACUCUCUGAAGAAGACGGUAACGUUAGACUACAUUUAGCCUCGAAGUUUUGCUUUCAAGAGCAACUCUGCAAUGCUCCAGUUUCUGUGCAUAUAAGGCUCUACAGAUCACAUCAGCAUGCUGGUAAAGGUGAAAUUUGGGAAUGCACAAAAGUUUGUUAAAAUAGCCAAUCUGAACCUGGAGGACUUUUUGUCUGCAGCCUUUUUGAAGUUUGGGGUUCCAAAUGUACCUGAGAACGUGAAGGUUGUGGAUGAAUCUGGGACUGAGGUGGAUGGUGAUGUUUUUGAAGAGUUAAUCAAAGAUCCCUCCGUUGGCGUUCUCACCAUAAAACAUGGUGCAGGAUACAGUCAUUAUUGAAGAAGGCCCUGACAGUAAGCGAAUGAAGCUGGAUGAUGAAGCAAAAAAGGUGGACUUUU